CAUACUCAGUGCUGGAGGGUGCUCGUCUUACCAAGAAUUUUGUGAAGGUGGCAGAUCUGUUGCUGCUCAGAACUUCCGAGUGUCCCCACGCGGGGUCCCUGAAGUGUCCUGGGUUCCUGUUUCCAGGCAUCUGGGUCACAGGCCCCAGUUCCACCCCCUGAAGCACGGAUUUGAUGAGUGGUUUGGAUCCCCCAACUGCCACUUUGGACCUUAUGACAACAAGGCCAGGCCCAACAUCCCUGUGUACAGGGACUGGGAGAUGGUUGGCAGAUAUUAUGAAGAAUUUCCUAUUAAUCUGAAGACGGGGGAAGCCAACCUCACCCAGAUCUACCUGCAGGAAGCCCUGGACUUCAUUAAGAGACAGGCACGGCACCACCCCUUUUUCCUCUACUGGGCUGUCGACGCCACGCACGCACCCGUCUAUGCCUCCAAACCCUUCUUGGGCACCAGUCAGCGAG
rnacentral:sRNA from 1 species